UAGCUUAUAAGAUAACAAACUAAUUCAUGGUAAUCCAAUCAUUAAAAAUUUCAUUAUGUAAAUUAAAAGAUUAGUCGACUGGACUCUAGAGUUUAAAUUUGAGAAUAUGCACUAGAUAACUAUGGAUUGUAAAAGAACUAACAAAAUAGUCAUGGUUUCAGAGUACACUCUCUUUCUUCACUUUCAAUUACCUUUUUACCCAUUUUCGUAUUUUAUAUAUAUUACAUGCUAUUUUUCAAAAUCAUAUAAAACACUUAGAAUUAUCUCAUCUUUCUUUUUUCCACCACCACAACCACCACAUCUUCCACCAUCACAACCACCCGAUCUCUUUUUCGAUAAAUCUAGGCUGCCAAACGUUAUUUAUAUUGAUAGAUCAUCUCUCUUUCAAUUUGCAGAAGAUUUGUCAUUUUUUUAUUCGAUUUUGAUUCUUUCUUGGAAUCUCCGUCGUUAUGUUUUUUUUUUUAAAUUGUAUGUUAUUUUUUUUUAGGGUGAUUUGCAUAAAUAACCAUUUUUGAUAAACUAUUUAAAAAUAUAGCACCUUCAUAGAUAAAAUUAAGUAAAUAACACUACCGAGGAGUGAAAAG
rnacentral:sRNA from 1 species